rnacentral:rRNA from 1 species
UGGUGGAGUGAUUUGUCUGGUUAAUUCCGAUAACGAACGAGACCUCAACCUACUAACUAGUGAGGUGUAAUCUUUUUGGUUACAUUUAAUAACACUUCUUAGAGGGACUUUUCGCGUAUAGCGAAAGGAAGUUUGAGGCAAUAACA